rnacentral:misc_RNA from 1 species
GAUGAAGAACGUAGCGAAAUGCGAUAAGUAAUGUGAAUUGCAGAAUUCAGUGAAUCAUCGAAUCUUUGAACGCACAUUGCGCCCGUUAGCAUUCUAGCGGGCAUGCCUGUCCGAGCGUCAUUUCAACCCUCAGGGUCCCCGUUCCGGCGGGGAACCUGGUGUUGGGGAUCGGCCCGCCCCGUGCGGCGCCGUCCCCCAAAUUCAGUGGCGGUCUCGCUGCAGCCUCCCCUGCGUAGUAGUUACAACCUCGCAUCGGAGCUCAGCGCCGCCACGCCGUAAAACCCCCGACUUUCUGAACGUUGACCUCGGAUCAGGUAGGAAUACCCGCUGAACUUAAGCAUAUCAAUAAGCGGAGGA